UUAAGCGACUAAGCGUACACGGUGGAUGCCCUGGCAGUCAGAGGCGAUGAAGGACGUGCUAAUCUGCGAUAAGCGUCGGUAAGGUGAUAUGAACCGUUAUAACCGGCGAUUUCCGAAUGGGGAAACCCAGUGUGUUUCGACACACUAUCAUUAACUGAAUCCAUAGGUUAAUGAGGCGAACCGGGGGAACUGAAACAUCUAAGUACCCCGAGGAAAAGAAAUCAACCGAGAUUCCCCCAGUAGCGGCGAGCGAACGGGGAGCAGCCCAGAGCCUGAAUCAGUGUGUGUGUUAGUGGAAGCGUCUGGAAAGGCGCGCGAUACAGGGUGACAGCCCCGUACACAAAAAUGCACAUAUUGUGAGCUCGAUGAGUAGGGCGGGACACGUGGUAUCCUGUCUGAAUAUGGGGGGACCAUCCUCCAAGGCUAAAUACUCCUGACUGACCGAUAGUGAACCAGUACCGUGAGGGAAAGGCGAAAAGAACCCCGGCGAGGGGAGUGAAAAAGAACCUGAAACCGUGUACGUACAAGCAGUGGGAGCACGCUUAGGCGUGUGACUGCGUACCUUUUGUAUAAUGGGUCAGCGACUUAUAUUCUGUAGCAAGGUUAACCGAAUAGGGGAGCCGAAGGGAAACCGAGUCUUAACUGGGCGUUAAGUUGCAGGGUAUAGACCCGAAACCCGGUGAUCUAGCCAUGGGCAGGUUGAAGGUUGGGUAACACUAACUGGAGGACCGAACCGACUAAUGUUGAAAAAUUAGCGGAUGACUUGUGGCUGGGGGUGAAAGGCCAAUCAAACCGGGAGAUAGCUGGUUCUCCCCGAAAGCUAUUUAGGUAGCGCCUCGUGAAUUCAUCUCCGGGGGUAGAGCACUGUUUCGGCAAGGGGGUCAUCCCGACUUACCAACCCGAUGCAAACUGCGAAUACCGGAGAAUGUUAUCACGGGAGACACACGGCGGGUGCUAACGUCCGUCGUGAAGAGGGAAACAACCCAGACCGCCAGCUAAGGUCCCAAAGUCAUGGUUAAGUGGGAAACGAUGUGGGAAGGCCCAGACAGCCAGGAUGUUGGCUUAGAAGCAGCCAUCAUUUAAAGAAAGCGUAAUAGCUCACUGGUCGAGUCGGCCUGCGCGGAAGAUGUAACGGGGCUAAACCAUGCACCGAAGCUGCGGCAGCGACGCUUAUGCGUUGUUGGGUAGGGGAGCGUUCUGUAAGCCUGCGAAGGUGUGCUGUGAGGCAUGCUGGAGGUAUCAGAAGUGCGAAUGCUGACAUAAGUAACGAUAAAGCGGGUGAAAAGCCCGCUCGCCGGAAGACCAAGGGUUCCUGUCCAACGUUAAUCGGGGCAGGGUGAGUCGACCCCUAAGGCGAGGCCGAAAGGCGUAGUCGAUGGGAAACAGGUUAAUAUUCCUGUACUUGGUGUUACUGCGAAGGGGGGACGGAGAAGGCUAUGUUGGCCGGGCGACGGUUGUCCCGGUUUAAGCGUGUAGGCUGGUUUUCCAGGCAAAUCCGGAAAAUCAAGGCUGAGGCGUGAUGACGAGGCACUACGGUGCUGAAGCAACAAAUGCCCUGCUUCCAGGAAAAGCCUCUAAGCAUCAGGUAACAUCAAAUCGUACCCCAAACCGACACAGGUGGUCAGGUAGAGAAUACCAAGGCGCUUGAGAGAACUCGGGUGAAGGAACUAGGCAAAAUGGUGCCGUAACUUCGGGAGAAGGCACGCUGAUAUGUAGGUGAAGUCCCUCGCGGAUGGAGCUGAAAUCAGUCGAAGAUACCAGCUGGCUGCAACUGUUUAUUAAAAACACAGCACUGUGCAAACACGAAAGUGGACGUAUACGGUGUGACGCCUGCCCGGUGCCGGAAGGUUAAUUGAUGGGGUUAGCCGCAAGGCGAAGCUCUUGAUCGAAGCCCCGGUAAACGGCGGCCGUAACUAUAACGGUCCUAAGGUAGCGAAAUUCCUUGUCGGGUAAGUUCCGACCUGCACGAAUGGCGUAAUGAUGGCCAGGCUGUCUCCACCCGAGACUCAGUGAAAUUGAACUCGCUGUGAAGAUGCAGUGUACCCGCGGCAAGACGGAAAGACCCCGUGAACCUUUACUAUAGCUUGACACUGAACAUUGAGCCUUGAUGUGUAGGAUAGGUGGGAGGCUUUGAAGUGUGGACGCCAGUCUGCAUGGAGCCGACCUUGAAAUACCACCCUUUAAUGUUUGAUGUUCUAACGUUGACCCGUAAUCCGGGUUGCGGACAGUGUCUGGUGGGUAGUUUGAACUGGGGCGGUCUCCUCCUAAAGAGUAACGGAGGAGCACGAAGGUUGGCUAAUCCUGGUCGGACAUCAGGAGGUUAGUGCAAUGGCAUAAGCCAGCUUGACUGCGAGCGUGACGGCGCGAGCAGGUGCGAAAGCAGGUCAUAGUGAUCCGGUGGUUCUGAAUGGAAGGGCCAUCGCUCAACGGAUAAAAGGUACUCCGGGGAUAACAGGCUGAUACCGCCCAAGAGUUCAUAUCGACGGCGGUGUUUGGCACCUCGAUGUCGGCUCAUCACAUCCUGGGGCUGAAGUAGGUCCCAAGGGUAUGGCUGUUCGCCAUUUAAAGUGGUACGCGAGCUGGGUUUAGAACGUCGUGAGACAGUUCGGUCCCUAUCUGCCGUGGGCGCUGGAGAACUGAGGGGGGCUGCUCCUAGUACGAGAGGACCGGAGUGGACGCAUCACUGGUGUUCGGGUUGUCAUGCCAAUGGCACUGCCCGGUAGCUAAAUGCGGAAGAGAUAAGUGCUGAAAGCAUCUAAGCACGAAACUUGCCCCGAGAUGAGUUCUCCCUGACUCCUUGAGAGUCCUGAAGGAACGUUGAAGACGACGACGUUGAUAGGCCGGGUGUGUAAGCGCAGCGAUGCGUUGAGCUAACCGGUACUAAUGAACCGUGAGGCUUAACCUU
rnacentral:rRNA from 1 species